UUCAAUGGUGAUUCAGGCGGGGAAGGCAUUGCCUUGCCGGAAUGGUUGAUCUCCGGUCCGCGAACCCUGUCUGAAUCGCCACCAUC
rfam:Xenorhabdus khoisanae strain MCB contig208, whole genome shotgun sequence.